rnacentral:rRNA from 1 species
GACAAACGCGGGCGGCGUGCCUAAUACAUGCAAGUCGAACGACGAAAGCCUUCGGGCAAGUAAGAGUGGCGCACGGGCGAGGAACACGUAGAUAAUCUGCCCUUCAGUGGGGAAUAACUCUCCGAAAGGAGUGCUAAUACCGCAUAAGACCACAAGCUCUGCGGAGCAAGGGGUUAAAGGAUUUAUUCGCUGAAGGAUGAGUCUGCGUCCGAUUAGCUAGUUGGUGAGGUAAUGGCUUACCAAGGCAAUGAUCGGUAGAUGGUCUGAGAGGAUGAUCAUCCGCACUGGAACUGAGACACGGUCCAGACUCCGACGGGAGGCAGCAGUAGGGAAUAUUGCACAAUGGGGGAAACCCUGAUGCAGCAACGCCGCGUGAGUGAUGAAGGCUCUAGGGUCGUAAAGCUCUGUCGUAUGGGAAGAAAAAAAUGACGGUACCAUACAAGAAAGGACCGGCCAACUUCGUGCCAGCCGCCGCGGUAA